UUUUUUUUUUUGUGUCUUCAAAUUAUCUUUAACGUGAUCUAAAAUUCAAUAAUUGUCUCAAUAUAUGUUAUGCACUUUUCUUCUUAUGAUAACAACUUCGAACAUAAACCAAUUUUUAGAGAUAUUUAAAAUUUGUUGCAAACAGGUCGAUGCGUACAAUUUUCAUAAAUAAAUUCACCGUCAUAUAGUUGACCGGCAAUUAUUAAUUAUAGGACCUCAUGAUUUCAAUGUACACCUUAUAAGACCUAAUAUUUUUUCUUGUUUCUUUUAAUAAAAAAUUAAAUUUAGGCCUAGAACGUAAAUAUGUUCUUUAAUUUGGCUUCAAUUGAUAUCUAUGUUCUCAAUUUUAGGUGUGUAUAAGUAUUAGACACUUAAACUAUUCAAAAGUUAAGCAAGUAGACGCACCAUUGUCAAGUAGGAUGUGCAUGUUUAUGUGUUCAACUUUUUAGAUAGUUUAAGUGUCUACUUGUGCAUAAUCAAAAUUAAAAGGCAUACAUGCCAGUCGACGUCAAGUUACCGGGUAUAUUUAUGUAUUAUGCCUUAAAUUUAUGCUGAGAAUUUUACUUAAAAGAAUAAAUUGCAUUUUAUCAUAUAUGAUUCAAUAUUCUAAAUUUAAGCUCAGAGAUCUGAUUAAAAAUAAAUGAGUAGCUAUUUGACUUUUGUUAAGUAAAAGGAAGGCCAAGAUAUUUUCAAACCAUUAAGUACUUCAAAAUUGAUUUGACAAUAUCUACUAUAGUGGAGAGAGUGGAGACUGUUAUUUUAUCAAUUAAAUUUAUUAAGAUUGAAUUUUGCAAAUAAUGUUUUUUUCCUAAAAAGUUAAGAGUGAAUAUUAUACCUUUUUUAUGUUUAGUGCCGAAAGUGCAUAAAGUAAGCUCAUUUUUCGAAUUAUAAAGAUUUUGAUAUAAAUAAGAGUCUUCAUUUAAAAAAAUAGAUGCAAAUUGAACUAGCAAAGAAGUAAUAUGUCCAAUCGAAUAUCUAGGAAAAAAUAGAAUAUAAUUUGAGGGAAAGACGGAGAAUUCUUUUGAAUUACUCGUUGUAGCGGAGUGUGUUACUUAUCUUAUUGUUCAUGUUAUAAAUUCCGAUUAUUAUGAAUAAUACUUGUACUUUUAUGUGACCUGAUAGCGUAAUAAUAAUUAUAUUAUAAGUUUAUGUAUAAAAGAAAACUAUAUAUAUGAUCUCAGGGGUACUUUAGACAUCCUAAUUGAUUAUUUUUUUGUCAAGUUAGAAAAUAAUUCUCUCUCAAAAUUCUAUUUAUUUGUCAAUCAAUAUUCAUAUUCAUGCUUAAUUUGUGUAGAAGAAAAGAAAAUUGUGUAAUAUGUCAAGAAAUUAAUGAUAAGAAAAUUGGUGGAAAGAAAAUUUUGGACUUAGAACAUGUGUGGCCCAGAAAGAUUUCUAAAAUACUUCAAGAAUUUUAGCUUUCACCUAUGAUAAAGACAACCAUUUAUAGAUGGUUGGGUUGUCUAAUAUUUGUAAAAUUAGUCGGUGCAAAUUCAGACAUAAAAUCUUUUUAAAAAAUUGAAUAAAUUUCUCAUACUUCAAAAAAUAUAUUAAAAAAAUUUAUAAGUCAUGAUAGUUGAUAUUCAAAAAAUUAAAAUACUAUUUAUAAACAAAAAAGAAGAUACUUCUUCUUCUCUUCUUUUUUUCCAAGAAAUGAUAGUAUCAUAUAAAAUAGAACAUAAGGAAUUAUAACACUUUUUGGUCAUCAAUAUGAGUUCUGGUGAAAUGAUUAAGAUUCCUCUAUUUUUAACCGUAGAUGACGUCUUAGGUUCGAGCCCUUGCAAAUGGAAAAAAUCCUUUUGAAAGUGUUGCCCCUAGAAAAAGCUUUGCAUAUGCGAAACUAGAUUUUAUCGAAUAUCAGAGACCGAUAAAAAAGUAAAUUAUUAUUUUUUUGGUCAUGAGGAUCACCUCAGACAUCAUCACAACACACACACAUAUAUAUAUAUUUGUUUCUUCUAAUAUAUAAAUAUUUAUGAAAUUUGCAAUUGUUUAAGGUCUUCUCUUUAAUGAUUAAUUUAGGGUUUUACUUUGAUAUUAGUAAAAGGGAUAUAUAUUAUCAUCAUGAUGAAAGUUGAUUAUAUAUAUGUAGAAAAUAGAAAAGGCUAGGGAUAUAUGGCCUACUGUUUUCCACAAAAAUCCACCCUUUCUAUAAUCUUCAUCAUUGAUUUUGAAGUAGGUAAAUAGCCAUUUUUAAACUUUUGCUAUCAAAUAUUAGUUAACUAUUUUAAAUUUAUUACUCCAAUUUUUAAAUCUUGUAAUCUUAAAUUAAAGAUAUUUAUAGCACAUGAUAUAUAAAUAUGUCAUUUAAUUUAUCUUUAGUUGGCAUAAGUGUCUUUCAAUUUUGGUUGUACAAGUAGACACUUAAAUUUGUGUAAAACUGACAAGUAGACACAUGCAUCCUAGUUACGUGGCAUAAUACACGUUCUACGUAGGAAACAGAUUGUCAUGUAGGACACCACGUAACAUACAUGUGUCUAUUUGUUCAAUUUUAUACAAGUUAAAAUACCUACUUAUACACACCCACGGUAGAGGGUAUAGAUAUCAGUUGAUGCCAAGUUAAAGAGACCUUUACGUAUUAUGCAUAUAUGUAAUGUAUCAAAAUGUCAUUUAAUCAUGUAGUCUUAAACAUGUCAUGUGGUUUACAUAUUAGGGUAUUUUAUCCGCAUUUUAUUUUAACAUUUAAAUGUGGCUAUUUCCCUAAUAAUAUAUAAAUGUGCCCCUAAAACUUAUCUCAGCAGAUAUUUAUGCCCUUCAAUUCUUUAUAUGCUUAAAAAGACGUUUAAAUUGUAUAUAAUUAAACAAGUAGACACAUGUUCAACAUGACAUAAUAUGCAUCCUUCAUAACAUAAUACAAAUCAGUUUGAGUGUUUCUCACGGGAAUUAUCAUGUAAGAUGUGUCUUUUUAUUCAACUUUAUAUAAGUUAUAUACACAUUCAAAGUUGAAGGACAUAGAAGUUAGUUUAAAUUAAAUUAAAAGCUACAUUUAUGUAUUAUACCAAUUUAAUCAAGUGUCCUCUUUCUGGGUUGAUAAUUAAAGUGUAACCCUUUGAUAAAAAAAAAAUAGUAAACAAGUUUUGUCCAUUGAACAACAUAGAGAAGUUUAACUAAAAUGACACAGAUGAGCCAAAUUUUUAACGGAUGGCAUAGAUGAACUUUUCCUCAAAGUUCGAUGACAUAUUUGAGUAUUUUCCUUUUUAAAAAAUAAUUUAAUUAAUAACGUGGCCGAAUCAUACCACGUGUAAAAAAUGAUUUUGCAAAACGAAACUGUUUUCGAUUAACAAAUAAUGACAUGGAUAAGCCUUUUCUCAAACGAAAAUGACAUAAAUGAGUUAAGCCAAACUUUUAACGGAUAGCAUAAGUUAAGCCAAACUUUUAACGGAUGACAUAGAUGAGCUUUUUUUCUCAAAGUUCGAUGACAUAUUUAAGUCUUUUCCCUUUAAUAAAAUAGGUAGAAUGAAAACAAUACCAAGUCUUAUCAAUCCAACAAAACCUGUGAACAAUUGAAUAAACACAAAUAAGUUUUUUCCAGUUCUUCCAAGACUUGUAAGGUGUAACCAGUUUAGCAAAAUGGUGAAAUUAUUAUUGUCCAACCAACAUAACUUGUGGACAAGGUAACACUUUUUGAGUUUUCACUUACAAAACUUCAAUUCUGUUUUCAUAAUCAAACAUAACUCCAUCUUCUGAAGUUCAAAUACUACUUCUCGUCAGUCAUAUCCAAAACACCACGAGAGACGAGACUUUACAUUCAAUCAAUCAAUCACUAUAAACAAUUACCUUUUCGAGUUUUCACUCACAAAACUUCAAUUUUGUUUCCAUAUCCAAACAUAACUCCAUCUUCUGAACUUCAAAUACAACUUCUCUUCAUUCAUAUCCAAAAUGCCACGAGAAACGAGACUUUACAUUCAAUAUAUCACUCACUAUAAACAAUAUUCAAGUUGUGUUGUAUUUGCAACCAUUAAAGAUAUAUAUUUGGUACUUUUGACACACAAUUACAGAGUAACCAGAUACAUACAGAUUCCACACCCAAUUAAAAAAAGUAGACUUUGACAAUCACAGAGAUAAAUUAUGUAUUAGAAGAACGUCUUUGCAGGAGAAAUUAGGGUGCACCCUUGAGUUUCUUGGCGAUGGCAGCGAUGUAUUUACCUUGGUGAUGUGCCUGCUGCAAUUCAAGCUCAGAUGGCUGUCUGGAGCCAUCACCAGCGAAUGUUCCAGCUCCAUAUGGACUUCCUCCUUUCACGUUCUCCAUUUCAAACAUGCCAGCACCAAAUGUGUAUCCGAUGGGUACAAAUAUCAUUCCAUGAUGAACAAGCUGAGUUAUAGCAGUCAACCUAUCAUAUACCUCGGGUUAAAAACAAUACCAAGGAAGAGAAUUACAGUUUAUCAUGUUUAGUCAUAUGGAUUUAUGUGAAAUAAGAUCAUACGGUGUUGUUUCUUGUCCACCACCUUGGGAUCCAGUGCUAUAGAAUAGGCCUGCAGGCUUGCCAGCUAGUUGUUGUGUUCUCCAUAGACCUCCAGUUGCAUCAAGGAAUGCUUUAAACUGAGCGGACAUCAUUCCAAACCUUGUAGGGAAUCCAAAAACGAAACCAUCAGCUUCAGCAAGUUCUUGAGGUGUUAUAAUAGGCACAUCACUCUUUGGAGGUGCACUCAUUUUCGCUAGCACCUCUUCUGAUAACGUUUCAGGUACCUGUACCACAAAAUGGUAUGUUUCAUUAACAGAAGAAUAUAAUUAAGAAAUGUGCAAAGCUAGGGACUCCAACAUGUAAGAAUAGGGCGUAGAAAAUGAUCCAGUUGCUAUUAUUCACAUGAAAGAGGGCGAUCUCCAAAAUUCAAUAACAAGCAGUUUCUAAGCUUGACGACUGACUUCGUAUUAGCACAUAAACUUGGUAAAAGAUUUGCAUAGGCCAAUUUAUUCCGUCGCCUUAAUACUGGCACUGGACUUUUCUAAGCUUUGCCUAAUUUCUAUGUUUGUUUACUCCUUAUUCAGUUCCUUACUGACAGAGACGAGAAAAAGGGAGAAAACAACCAAAAAUAAAUAUGAACCAGAGUCUGAAGAAACAAUUUUGAAAAUUAGCACAGACCAAGUUGUUCCUUCAUCAGCUUACACCAAUUUGGUUUACUCAAAUACGAUCCUUACAUUCAGCCCAUCACUUAGUUUUGUGAAAGUUGAGAAAACUUUUCCUUUCCAGAGAUCAGAUUUACAUGGUUCGGCAAAACAGCCUGUCCACAACCACUCAAGAAGAACGAGUCCGAUAGCUUUAUGGAGUUCCAUUACAAUAACUUUCACACAAUAAAGCUUAUUCCCUUAUAGGUAUAUAUAAAAGAAAAUAAGCUACAACUCUGAGCCAUGCUAAGUUAAGCUACGGCAAUAUUGCUCCUUCCAAUAGCAAAACACGUAUACUAAAGAACAAGGAUGAUUUAAAGCUAGUCAAAUUUAACUGAUUCUUAUACUUCCCCUUUAGUUUUUAAAUCAAGAGAAAAGGGCCAAACAUACCCCUAAACUAAUCAACAUGGCUCAGUUUUACCCUCCGUUAUGUUUUUGGCUCAAAAAUGCCCCUACAGUUGCGUUUUUGGCUCAAAAAUUCCCUCCAACUAGCAAAAUGGAUAAAAAAUACCCUUCUUACUAACUGUAGGAAAAAUGGGCCAACUUACCUAAGUGACAAAAAUGGUUCUUCUUAACAUGGAACCACCUUGGUAAGAAAACCUCUAUAGAGUUGUUAGGCGGUAAUCAAAACAAAGUGAUAACUAAAACUACAACUUGUUGUAGUUCCUGGCUCAUUAUUUGUAGAUGACAGAGACUUGCAGAUACUCUCUCGAGAUUAGAUUUAUGUAUAUUUUCCAUUCCAAACUGAAAGAUAUGAAAAGACAAAGCAACACCUACUUGCCACAAUUUAGCUUCAACUCCUUCAACAGAUGCUGCCCCUUUCUUUAUCUCUUCGGCUAGUUUCUCCACAUGCCCAUACAUUGAAUAAUAUCUGUUGAAGAAAUAAAAUGUCAGCUAUCACUAUUCAAUGGAUGAGAAAUAAAAAGUUUGUAGUAACUCAUAUUACUGUAAAUUUUAAGAAGAUAGCAAUUUGUCCCUCCUCCAAUCAGAUUAAACUGUGUUUUGUCCUCCGGACAUUUGUUAUGUUGCCAAAUUGAAUUGCAUCAAAGCUCUCAUUCGAACUUCAUAUAUUAGUUCCUGAUCCCUUCACUCCAAAUGCUAUUCAUCUCUAUUUUCUUAGUCAACCCUCCCUGCAACUCUAGCUAAGACUACAACCUUAGGUUUUAAACUCGGUAAAUAUUGACAUUAUUGCUGUACCACUUGGCUGAAAAACAUUUACUAUAGCCAGAACCUCUUUGAUACAAGGCAUAUCUCGGGGAGUGCAUGAAUAAACCUCCGAAGAACUCUGACUCCAUUGGCAUUAGAAUGGGAUACAUAGUCGGAAGAUAAUCUUGAAUGUGGACACAAUAGUGCAGACUGUCAUCAAACCAAUGACCAACAAAUAGAAAAUCACUAAAUCCCCAUGAAAACAUAAGAGUGUUUCUUUCCCAAACAUGUGAAUUGUAGGAUAGACGUUUCAUUAAGUUUAUGCAAUCAUUUUAAACACUCAGGUAAGGUGAAUGAAACCAAAUCCAUAAACGAACAAAAAUGUUAAAAGGAAUUAGAUUCAAGAUGGUUUUAAAUCUCAGAUUAACACAUAUUACCCAUAUAGUGGUAGCUAUCUGACAAAUCUAACUUCACAUGACUUCGUUUAAAAAUUUAACAACUUCUGAUCUCUUCUUUUGUUUUCUAGUUUUUUGUGGAUUCACUACUUGGAUGAGUCCUAUAAUAUAUAAAUACUACACUGAACUAGUUGAAUAUACAGCAAUCUCUUUCUGGCAGUCCAUUUAUUUUCUUUGGUACCUAGAGGUCAAGGUGACCGAGAGCAAGGAACCAAGAGUUGAUGGGGGUAGCGCAUCCCCACACUGAUUAAACAAUUUGACGUACCAGGAAGCUAUGUUUCUCGGACUCUACAAAAACAGCCGCACCUAUGUCAGAUCCUCCAGAAAUGCACUCUUUUAGGAGGAUCCAACACGCACCCAAUGACAUUUAUGCAGAGUCCGAGCAACAUAGCCAGGAACUACUCCAGAGAAAAUAACAGCCAGACUUUCUAAAUUGAUCUUUAGAUCACUAAUGUCAAACAAAUAUGACUACUACUACACCAGCUAUUACAUUGUGACAAUGAGGGAGCUUAUCAUAUAUAAUGUUUUAUUUCAACUCCGUAUAUCCAUUGGCGGGUGGUCCAGAAAGAUUAUACAGGUUCGGCCUAACCUGUGCCUUUUAAAAACCCAAUAUGUAUACAUGGGAAACAGCUAAAUUUAUAUUUCAAAACCCCCACUCUUAACUCAGAGCCCCAAUGUUUAAAUCAACGUCUAAAUCCGGGAUCCUUGACAACCUACAACGUCUAAAUCCCGGAUCCUCCAAAACCCAUAAUGUCUAAAUCCUCAAUCCUCCAGAAGACCUGAACCCACACUCUGAACUCAGAACCCACCACAACGUCUAUAUCCGGGAUCCUUCACAACCUACAACGUCUAAAUCCCGGAUCCUCCAAAACCCAUAAUGUCUAAAUCCUCAAUCCUCCAGAAGACCUGAACCCACACUCUGAACUCAGAACCCACCACAACGUCUAUAUCCGGGAUCCUUCACAACCUACAACGUCUAAAUCCCGGAUCCUCCAGAACCCACACUCUGAACUCAGAACCCACGACGUCUAAAUCCUCGAUCCUCCAAAACCCACAACGUCUAAAUCCUCAAUGCUACAGAACCCACACUCUGAACUCAGAACCCACCACAACGUCUAAAACCGGGAUCUUUCACAACCCACAACGUCUAAAUCCGGGAUCUUUCACAACCCACACCAUCUAAAUCCCGGAUCCUCCAGAACCCACAACUUCAAAAUCCCGGAUCCGCCACUUCACACAUAAUUUCAAGCUGAGGCACAGGGUGCAACCACAUCAGCUACUCAAACACUACAUCCACCCUUAAUAUCAAACUAAAUCAAUUCAAUGCACAAUUUUAUCAAUUACUACAUCUGCCCUUAAUAUCAAACUAUAAGGAAAUAAUAAUUUAUUAAUUUUUCAAUGCACAAAUUUAUCAUCUCACUGUAUCUAACAAAUAAUUUACCCAAAUUUUAGCAGCAGCUAAGCUAAAAUCUGAUCCUUCAAUUAAUAUACUAAAACUCUAAAUUAAAUAACGAUGAUUUGCAUGUAAUUAACAUCAUUAACGCCAAAUCGGUAAUUAAAUUGAAUUCAACAAAAAACGAAUCAACUAAUAACACUAAAGUUCAUCCGAUUUAAACACAAAAUCAACAUGGAAAACAAAAUUAUUAUCAAUUUUUUUCAAUCAACAGCUGAAAAUUUAGCAAAUUUACUUACACUAUGUAAAUUUUGGUAGCCAUUUUCGAUCUGGAAGGAAGAUUUGAGAGCAGAGCUGUAGAACCACAACUGUCUUUUCAGUUUAUAUAUUUAUAUUUAUAGUUGCUAAAAGACUGUCAAUUAAAUCCGUUCCGCACAUUGCAGGAUCCAUUUUUAUUGCAGUCUCACGGAAGGUCAGAUUAAAAAUUUGGGGUUCUAAAUUUUAGGACGGAAUAAAAGAAUAGUUCGAGUCUAUCCCUCUAAAUUACGUUGGCAUUUUGCAGGAUUCGUUUCUAAGGGCAUCGUUUUUUAACAAAAAAAAUUUUGUUCUUAUUGUUGGAACUUGAGAUCUUACUCAUCUCAUCACACUAUUUAAUUAGUUUAUUCGUUUUCUACUAUUUUAAUAAUAACUUUACCGUGUACUCUAUUUUUAUGAUAUUGUAAGUUUAUAUUUUAGAUUGGUGAUGCGUGAUAUUAUGUAAGAAAGAUGAAAUAAUUUAUUUGUAUUUAUCAAAACAAUAUUAUGCAAUUAAAAAACAUGAUAUGUUAUGGGACGAUAUAUAACAACCAACCAAACAAGUUAUUAGGUGAUCACACAUGGAAAUAGGAGAGGAAAGUGAAAACUUUAUAAAAGAUAAUAGAAGUUCAUGCGAUACGUGAACUUUUGAGCUUAAAGAUUGCAUGGACGGAGUGAUUUAUAAGAACAAUCUUGAAAGUGAGUAGUUUUGAACUUUUAAUCCUAUUUGCACGUGAACAAAACUUCAAAUCUAAUAAAUUUUGUCACAUAGACAACACUUUUGACCUUGAAGGUUUGCACGGUUGCACAUAGAGCAAAUAAGAUCAAAAGUUCAAGAUCAUUCAUUUUUUAAAAUCAUUGAAUAUAAUUUCCUCCAUAAACCCGGUCGACUUUUGGCCAAAGCGAACAACAGGUGCUUUCUGUUUUACUUUGUUUAUCGUAUUUUUCUUUCUUAAAUUACGUUUGAAGAUAAAAUUAUACGAACAAAAUUGAAUAGAAGGAAAUACUUAUACUUAUUUACCACUUUAAUUAGUUAAUUUAAUUUAGAUCUUAAUCUAAAGUAAAUGUGGACAAAUUGGAAUAUGGAAAUUCAAGAAAAGGAAUGAUGAGUGAAUAAGUUUGACUAGCUCAACCAAGUCUAAAAAUGAUCAAAGAGGAAAAACAAGGCAAUAAUUGACUUUUUCCCUAUACUUUAGGUAUGGGUAUAUGACAUGCCCCACGAUUUAUUGCCUUGCACUUUCAACAUUACCAAACUUCUCAAUUAUUCACUCAUUAAAGCGUUUUUUUUUCUUCUUAAUUGGACUUUUUUAACUUGUAAAAUACUUUUAAUAUUAUUAAAUAAAAAUAUUUUUUUGUUUUAUUUUAUGUGAUGGUAUAUCUCAUUUAUGUUUUCAAUGAGUAGCUUGAUGAGUCCAAAUCACGACAGCUUGAGAAGAAAGGAAAAUGUAUUAAGAAAAAAAAAUGGGAAAAUGCAUAACUACCCCCAGCCUAUGUCCAAAAUCCCUGAGACACAUCUAACUUUUACUAAGAUCCUAUUACCCCGAACUUAUUUUAUAUAUAAUUUUAUACCCCUUUUCGGCCUACGUGGCAUUAUCUUGUGGGCUCAGUGCGUGUUGACAAUUUUUUCAAGAAUAGUGCCACAUAGGCCGAAAAGGGAUAGAAAAUUAAUUAAAAAAUAAGUUCGGGAGUAAUAGGACCUUAGUAAAGGUUAAGUGUGUCUCAGGAAUUUUGAACAUAGGCUUGGGGUUACUUAUGCAUUUUCCCAAAAAAAAAUCAAAAAUCUCAAUCCAUUUUGAGGACCAAAUACAUCUAAUCUAUAGUAUAGGUGUCAAAGAAGAAUUCCAAAUAAAAGAACGAAAUAUCCAAUAUGAUAAACAAAAUAAAAUCAUGUCAAAGUCAUAAUUGUAUGACUUCAAUAUGAUGUCUUUCGAACGUGAAUUCACAUUGAACAUUGCACCAUAUGAUCAAUGAUCUGUUAAUUUUACAAUUUUGUUAAACUUGUGAUUUAAAACAAGUUACAAACGAUUCUCUAACUAUAAAUUUAUCUUAUUUAGAGUAAGUUGAAAAAUUAGAAGUUAAAUUAUUACUCAAACAUAGCUAAAACAUGCUAGAAAGGUAAGAAUAUCACAUACUACAACAACAUGUCCCGUGAAAUUCCACGAGUUUUCUGGGAUCUUGAGAACAGAGAUAGAGUGUACCCAAACUUUAUCCCUAACGACCCUUCGUCUCAAGUAUAGCGAAUCAAAGUAGUUAUGAAAAAAGUAAAAACGACAUUGCAUUCAGAAAAGCAACAGUAACACCAACAAUAGUAUCAUCUGUAUAUAUUUUCAAUGUGUAAGUAUAACAAAAUAUGAAAAAGUUACAAUGAAAAGUUGAAUUCUUGAUGAAGAGCUUCAUCUAACAAAAACUGAGAUUGCUCCAUCAACUCAGGACUUAAUCUGAACAUCAAAACACAAAAUUCCAUCUGAUUCAAAGCUCCAUCACCAUCAAAAUCCCCUUCUUUAACCAUACCUUUAAGAUCAUCAUCACUCAAAUCUUGUAACCCUAACAAAGCUGAAUUCUUCUUAAGACUCUCAAAUGUGAUAACCCCUUUAUCCCUAUCCAUUAAUAACUGAAACCCUUUACACAGCUCACCAAUUAAACCAUCCCCACCAAGUUUUUCAGCCAUAAGAGGCAAAAAAUCAUUAAAAUUGGAUUUUCUUGAAGUAGCCAUUGAAGAAAUAAAAGUUGGAAUUGGUCAGAAAAUUGAUUGAUGAAGAAAAGGGGUUGUGGAGAAUUGUAUAUAAAGGAGAAAUUUGGACGGUAGAAAGGGGUUUCGAAGAAAACGCCAUGGAAAAUACAGCAAAGAUAGAGUCUUUUCACGCGAAAUUGCCUUUGCUUUGGCUUAGCCUGACAGUUGAGGAAGAAAUUGCCUCCCAAUUUCUAAUGUUGGUCUUGUCACACACUAGGGGUAUAUUUGUCCUUUUGAAAUUAUCUUUAUAACGACGUCAUUUAUUCGGAUACAUUUUAAGGAAAAAUUACCUAAAUACACAUUUUAUUUUAUCAUAUUCUCGAAAAUUUUCUAUCAUUCAAAAAAUUACAAAAUCCCUACUAUCUCCUAUUCUCGGAUACAUCACUUUACGCGAUGUAUAUUAUCUGGAUGUACGCGAUGUAUUCAAAAUUGAUACGCAAUGUAUCGAGAUGUAUCUGAAAUCGAGACGCAAUGUAUCAGAACGUUUUGAAAUAUAUCUGUAUUCCACCAAAUUUAAGAGAUUUUUAUUUUGAAAAAAUAUAGGGAUAAGAUUUAUUAUCUCUUUAACACUAUGAGAUUUGUGUAAAAUUCAUUUUUUAGUUAUUCUUAUAGAGAAUAUAUAAUAUAACAUAACCUAAAAUAUCGAUUACUCAAAAAGAAUAUAAAUACUGAAACUGAAAUGGUGUUAUAAAGAAUAUAGCAGCUAGCAUUGCUUGUUUCGAUAUUUUUUACUGUUAUUAUAUAAAUAACAUAAAAUGAAAAAUUGAUUUCAUAGAAAACUUGGUUUACAAUGAAAUAUUGUUGUAAAUGAUAUAAUGACGUUGUUUGUUUGGACAUUUUUUUAUUGUCAUGGCAAAUAUUAUUAAAAAAACUUAAUUAUUUUUUUCCUUAAUAUUAACUGGUAAGCACCAAGUAUUGUUCUAAAAAAAAUAUUACUUAUAUAAUUGGACGGAAAAAAUUAUAUUUAAACUUGACUAAAUAGAAAUUACCUAAAUAUAAUGUGAAGCUAUUAUUAUUCGAAAAGUCAAGAGAUUUGUAUGUCUCCAAUGUACAUGUUUACAUUGAAGUUAUAAGAAUAAAAGUUGCAAUGAAGAGUCAAUCUUUCGAAAGGCCAAAUAUUUUUAUAUUUUAGUCUUUUUGUGUUUCAUAUCGGACCACCAAUUAUUUAUUAAAUAUAUUUUAAUUGUUAGUUAUUCCUUUUUACUACUAAAUAAAGGUGAUAAUUCAAUUACAUUUUAAUUAUUAAUUAUUCCUUUUUACUACUGAAUAAAGGUGAUAUUUCAGGUAAGAAAAGGGAAUAAGUGAUUGUUUAUAUGUGUUUUGAUUAUAGUUGAUAAUAAUUGAGAUAGGAAACUCGUACACUUACGUCUAGGUAUGAAGCUAAAAAAAUCGAGAUAUUUUAGGUGUAUUUUACACCAUUAACCUUGUUGAAGAGUAUUGACAAAAGUUAUAAUGAAAAGUCAGCAUCUUUGAAACUCUUUGUGAAAGAGUUUUUCAGUUGGAGUGUAGUAUUCGUAUUGGGGUUUUUAUUAAUUUCAGUUUGUGUCGCAUAAAUUAAAUUAAAGAAAAAAACAUUGUGUAGCGUGGACGGAUCCUAUCUAUCCCGCCACAAUCUGCAGCGUUGAAGGCACAAAAUUCCAUCUGAUUGAGAAAUGAUUUUAUAAUCCAUUACAAAUGUUAUUGUAAUUAUACUUCUUUUCCUAGGAGAUUAUUACUAAAAAAUACACCAAAUAAAUGUAAAUAAAACAAUAUUAGAAAUGACCUAUUGUUCAAAAUCGAAUAGGGAGUUUGAUUUUUAAAGCAACGUUCGAUGAGGAAAAUAACUUUCACCCAAAGGUAAGAGGUGGUCAUUCCACUUUCUUGAAUCUAUAACAGCAAUUGAAAAUUUAGAUAAAUGGAAGAUUGUAUUUAGAAUUCGAAUACACUUGGGAUCGACUAUAUGAAUCUUUACUGCUUCAUUUAAGCUCAACUCAUGUCAUCAUCGUUAUCAAAUAAAGUAAAAAUGAAACCAAAACAAGUUUUAAUAACGUUAGAAGUUCUCUAACGAGUCCCAAACGAGGAAAAUGUAAUUUCAUUUGCAGUGCAAGAGUCAGUAUCAGACCUGAUAGAAGUAACUUCAGUUGGGUUCAUAUCUCUCAGAAAACCAGGUUGUCUUGGCUGUGGUAGUGUACUCUCUCCAUUCAACAUCAGAACCACGGGCCGACAUAUUUGGUCUGUCUUCUGGAAUCUGCUGGACACAUAACAGACUUACAUGUAUGCACCGCGAUAUUUCCAACAUAGAGCUUGUGUCCUCUAACGAGGAAUCAACUAACGCGAGGGGUGUCCCUUCCGUCCACAUUCUCCAAGCCUGAAAAGGGGAAUAAAGAAAGAAAGGCACAUUACAUAACCAAACAUUCAAACUUGGCUUCAGAUGACAAUUUAGCACUCCAAUUUUGACUAUGCACAUCUAGACAGUUCAACUCGUCUCCACUGUGUCAGUUGAACACUCCAACUUCGUCUUUACUGUAACCUUGUUCUUUACUUCCACGGAUAGUGACUAGUGAGAUAUUAACUCAUUGACUCUAAACUCAUUCCAAUUAUACCUAUAUUCCACACGCUGAGAAAUAAAUGUCAUUGACUUGCAAUGCUUGUGAUUUCUCAUAAGAAGAAGCAUCAAAACUCAAAAGAAAGAGAAAGAUUUUGCGUACAACAACUACGCCUCAAUCCCAAACAAGUGGUCAGCUAUAUGAAUCCCCAGUUCUUCAUUAAAGCUCAUUUUCAUAUCCUCAUCGUGUGCAUUAACGAAAAAAUCUAAUAAAAGUUUCAGCUUAGAAUUUAUCAAACAGUGAGUUUCAGACAUUGAAUGGUUAAAUCAUAAGGAAAAAAAAGUGAAAAGACCCUUGGUAGAGACAAUAGAGAGAACUGAUGAAAUAAGCUGUUUCUCCAUAGAUACAACUUUCCAUAUAUCCCUAUCCAUCAAUAACGGAAACCCUUUACACAGCUCGUCUAUCAAACCAACCCCACGUAAUUUCUCAUACAAAAUAGGUAACAAAUACUCAUCCGUAGAGACAGUUAAGAUAACUGAUUAAACCUAUUGUUUCUCCAUUAGUACAACUUUCUGUAUAUGUUUUUGCAAUGUAUUACAUGUUUACAUAGACAAAAGUAUAAAACGACAAAAGUUACAACGAAAAGUUGAAUUCUUGGUAAUGAGAUUCUUUCUAACAAAAACUGAGACUCUCAAAUGUGAUGACCCCUUCAUCCCUAUCCAUCAACAACUGAAACCCUUUACACAGCUCGUCAAUCGAACCAUCCCCACUUAGUUUUUCUCAUCCAUAUUAGGCAACAAAUAGUUGAACAUGAUUACAAUAAUUCAGUGUAUAACUAUAAGAAUUUUAUCAUAAAAUGUGCGGUUCUGCUCUUAUCUCGAUGAGAUAAUAGCCACAAGAUUUUGCUGUCACUUAGAGUAGAACUGUAUCAGAUUGAAGUGUAAAAUUGAUAGCUAUCAUUUUAUCAAACCAGCAGUGUUAUUCUUGACCGGCAUGUCUAUUAGUUCAUCAAUGCAACGACUAUGAAAUGCCAUUGACUUGGUCUUUACUGUAAGCUUGUUCUUUACUUCUGCGGAUAGUGACUAGUGAGAUACUGACUCAUUGACCUCUCAACUCAUUCCAUUUACAUAUACCAAUAUUCCACACGCUGAGAAAUAAAUGUCAUUGACUUGCACUACUAGUGAUUUUUCAUAAGAAGCAUCAAAACUAGAAAGAAAGAGAAAGAUUUUGCAUACAACUACAUCUCAAUCCCAAACAAGUGGUCAGCUAUAUGAAUCCCCAGUUCUUCAUUAAAGGUCAUUUUCAUAUCCUCAUCAUGUGCAUUACCAGAAAAUUCUAAGAGAAGUUCCAGCUUAGAAUUUAUGGAAAAUUGAGCUUCGGAUAUUGAAUGGUUAAAUUAUAAGGAAACAAGUAACAAGACUCAUUGGCAGAGACAGUAGAGAGAACUGAUGAAAUAAGUUGUUUCUCCAUAGACACAACUUUUUGUAUCCCUAUCCAUCAAUAACUGAAACCCUUUACACAGCUCGCCUAUCAAACCAACCCCACGUAAUUUCUCAGACAAAAUAGGUAACAAAUACUCAUCAGUAGAGACAGUUGAGAGAACUGAUUAAACCUAUUGUUUCUUCAUUAGUACAACUUUCAGUAAACGUUUUUGCAAUGUAUUACAUGUUCACAUAGAGAAAAGUAUAAAACGACGAAAGUUAAAACGAAAAGUUGAAUUCUUGAUGAUGAGAUUCUUUCUAACAAAAAACUGAGACUCUCAAAUGUGAUGACCCCUUUAUCCCUAUCCAUCAACAACUGAAGCCCUUUACACAGCUCGUCAAUCGAACCAUCCCCACUUAGUUUUUCUCAUCCAUAUUAGGCAACAAAUAGUUUAACAUGAUUACAAUAAUUAGGAAAACUGAAAAAGUACUCUGAAGAGAACUGAUUAAACAAGCUGUUUCUCCAUUAAUUCAACUUUCUGUAUAUGUUUUUGCAAUGUAUACAUUAAAGUUAAGUAUAAAAGACAAAAGUAACAAUAUAAAGUAACAAUCUUUAUAUUUAAAUGUUAGAAUGAAA
rnacentral:lncRNA from 1 species